rnacentral:rRNA from 1 species
CACGUAGGCACCAAGCGUUGUCCGGAUUUAUUGGGCGUAAAGAGCUCGUAGGCGGUUCGGUUAGUCGGGUGUGAAAACUUUGGGCUCAACCCAAAGCGUGCACUCGAUACUGCCGUGACUAGAGUUCGGUAGGGGAGUGGGGAAUCUAGUGUAGCGGUGAAAUGCGCAGAUAUUAGGAGGAACACCGGUGGCGAAGGCGGGUCACUGGGCCGAUACUGACGCUGAGGAGCGAAAGCGUGGGGAGCGAACAGG